AUGAACGCUGGCGGCGUGCCUAAUACAUGCAAGUCGAGCGAACAGACGGGGAGCUUGCUCCUCUGACGUUAGCGGCGGACGGGUGAGUAACACGUGGAUAACCUACCUAUAAGACUGGGAUAACUUCGGGAAACCGGAGCUAAUACCGGAUAAUAUAUUGAACCGCAUGGUUCAAUAGUGAAAGACGGUUUUGCUGUCACUUAUAGAUGGAUCCGCGCCGCAUUAGCUAGUUGGUAAGGUAACGGCUUACCAAGGCAACGAUGCGUAGCCGACCUGAGAGGGUGAUCGGCCACACUGGAACUGAGACACGGUCCAGACUCCUACGGGAGGCAGCAGUAGGGAAUCUUCCGCAAAGGGCGAAAGCCUGACGGAGCAACGCCGCGUGAGUGAUGAAGGUCUUCGGAUCGUAAAACUCUGUUAUUAGGGAAGAACAAAUGUGUAAGUAACUAUGCACGUCUUGACGGUACCUAAUCAGAAAGCCACGGCUAACUACGUG
rnacentral:rRNA from 1 species